CCCCAGCUCACUGCAACCUCCCUUCAGGAAGUUAUAGAGAGCAAUGAGGUCUCCCCUGAGCCUCCUCUUCUCCAGGCUGAACAUUCCCAGCUCCUUCAGCCUCUCCUCAUAUGGCCUGUGUUCCAGACCCCUCACCAGCUUUGUUGCCCUCCUUUGAACACGUUCCAGGGCCUCAAUAUCUUUCUUGCAGUGAGGGGCCCAAAACUGGACACAGCACUCGAGGUGCGGCCUCACCAGUGCUGAAUACAGGGGAACAAUCACCUCUCUGCUCCUGCUUGCAACGCUGUUUCUGAUGCAAGCCAGGCUGCCAUUGGCCUUCUUGGCCACCUGGGCACACUGUGGCUCAUGUUCAGCCCAGCAUCCAUCAAUACCCCCAGGUCCAUUUCCUCUACGCCGUCCUCCAGCCACACCGCCCCAAGCCUGCAGCGUCGCCUGGGGUUGUUGUGGCCGAAGUGCAGGACCCAGCAUUUGGCCUUGUUGAAACUCAUCCCAUUGGCUUCAGCCCAGCUCUCCAGCCUGUCCAGGUCCCUCUGUAGGGCCUCGCUACCCCCAGGCAGAUCCACACUUCCAGCCAAUUUGGUGUCAUCUGUGAAUUUACUGAGGCUGCACUCGAUGCCCUCAUCCAGGUCAUCAAUAAAGAUAUUGAAGAGGACAGGCCCAGCACCGACCCCUGGGGAACACCGCUCACGACCGGUCGCCAGCUGGAUUUGACUCCAUUCACCACCACUCUCUGUGCCCGGCCCUCCAGCUCCUCACCCAGCCAAGAGUGCAGCCAUCCAAGCCUCUGGCUGCCAGCUUCUGCAGGAGAUGCUGUGGGAGAUGGUGUCAAAGGCUUUGCUGAAGUCUAGGUAGAGCACAUCAACAGCCUUUCCCUCAUCCACCAGAUGGGUCACCGCAUCAUAAAGGAGAUCAGGUUGGUCAAACAGGACCUGCCCUUCACAAAUCCAUGCUGCUGGGCCUGAUCCCCCCCCCGGUCACCCCACACGUGCCGCAUGGUCUCCCUCAAGACAAUCAGCUCCAUCACCUUCCCUGGAGUAGGGGAAAAAUGCUUACCUGCUGAGGUACCUACUUUGUUCCCCAUAUCUGCCCAUUUAUAGCUUACUAAUAGUGAUAGAUGCUAAAAAUGUCUCUGUGUGAGAUCUGAGAAGUGAAGAAAGAGGAUGAAUUUAUCUUUAGGGAAGAAAAGAAAAAAGACAUCAUGCAUGAAAUAAGGUAUCAGACCUGCUUUGUGUAUUACCUUUUGAGACUGCGUCUUUCUAAUGAAGGAUCCUAGCAGAGACUGCAGAAAUACAAGAAAGACUACUCAGAGUAGCAGCUGUUUCAUCUGCAGGAGAUGGAUUGGGUUCUUUCUCUGGGUCCAUGGGCCUGGGAUCUAGUGGGUUGUCUGACCCAUCCCAGUGAUUAUUUAAGGUUGCACCAGAAUGUUUUUAACUCAGCACACUUGACUCAGAUGUCUCUCACUCAGAGCAGGGGAAAAAUGGUGCAGAGUGAAAGCAUGAAGGAAAUAAAAGAGCAGCUACAGGUGUGCAACGGCGCCUUUGUGUAUUUGUCCAUAUCAUAUUCAUACGAAGGUUGCAUCUCUUCUUUCACUCGUACUGCCUUGUAACAGUUUUCUGAUGCUAAUCCUAAAAGCAUUCUCAUCUUUUAUUGAUCAUCUGACACCUAUAGCUCAUCUCCUUACUCUUCAAAAAUCCUGCUAUCAACUUAGCCUAUUUCAGUAAAAAUGCACAUGUAUUUCACAACUGUCACCAGCACACACUCCUUUUGUUGAUGAAUUCACUGUGAAAUGCUUUUUUCCAUGUCUGUUCUUUUGACGUUUUGAAGACCUGCAACGACAUUGGUAAUUUCAAAAUUUAGUAAGAUUUGUUUUUCCUUGCAGAUCCCUGAUUUGACAAAACAAUGGCUUAAAGGACCUUCCAUAAUUUCACAGGCAAAUAUAGGCAAUUCAGUGUGGAAAGGCAGUUUGGACAACCAUGUAGCUCUCAGCUAUCUUUGGGAAUCUUUCAGACUUUGGAGGCAAGAGAGAUGUCCUCCUUGGAGACAUUUUGUUUGUUUCUCAUUUGGUUUCUAGUGAAGAAGCAAUGGAAAUGGCCUUUUUAUCACAUCUUCAAGCAUAGCAAGGAUUAUGAUUUUUUUCUGUCAA